CCCACCCACCACCCUUUUUCCUUUUUCUGGAUGGAUAAAUAGUCAAAUUGAUGCCUAGAAAAGUAGAUGUCGCAAAAUUAUAAUGAUAAUAUUAACAAAAUAAUGCUACAGAUGAACAGUAACAAGAGCCAGGAAGAGCUCAUCCAACAAAAUUUCCAGGACUUCUCUGUUCUCUGAACACUAAAUGCCUUAUAAACACUCGACAAUAUAUCUACCAAUAGCCUCACAAAAGCUAGAAAUCCAAAAAUUAAGCAAAUAAAAAACACAGCGAUACCCUUAUUUUCGAUAGAUAUUUGAUUCUCUCGAACUCCUUCAACCAUCGACCUUAGAGCAAGAUUAUCCCCGAGGAGAUUAUCCAUCUGUGUAGAAACAAGGGAUUUCCAAGAAAGGAGAUCGUCAACUUCUUUAGCUAUGACCUCCUGGCUGCCAAGGAGAUUCUGUAUGUCAGGUAUGAUUUUUUCUAAAACCAUAUCUUUCUCUCCUAAAUCUUUGUCAUAUUCUUUGAAAAUAUUGCCAUAUCUGUAAUUCACCUCCUCCAAAUAUCGUUCCAAAACAGAUAAACUUAAGUCCAGAAAAUGAACUUUCUGCAUCAAUAUUUUAAGAACAGUGUCCCCAGGCAUUCUACCCACUUGUUGGUGAUGAACUUCUUCCACUGGAUCUGGCACUUUAUUUUUUGGAACUUCACGCCUUAUAUUUGAAUUCCCAACUGAAGUGCCUGAUUCAACGUCAAUCCUCAGUUCUUGAUCACAAUCAUCAACAUAUGAAAACUCUGAUUGAGAGGGUAAUACCUUCCGCUCGCCAGUUCCCUCUUCAUAUACAACUUUGUUUUCAGCAGAGAUCAAAUCUUCUAGCAUUCUUUCUACAGCAUCAACUCCAUAAACUUCAACAACACUUAGGGUACAAUAAAACUCUGAACCAUAAUGACUAAGAAGAUUGAGCUUUAGAUAUCUCACCCACUGUGGCUCCUGAAGAGCAAACCUUUGAGCAUGCUUAACAUUAGCAGCUGUAAAAUUCCCCAGCCUCACCCAUGAGUCUGUUGGAUAAACCAAACUACCAAGCAGCUCAAAAUCUUUUAAAUUAGAAGAGUAGUGCUCAAAAUUUGCUAUUUUAAUUGUAUCUACUAAGGUUUCUUCUGAAAGUUCUAUUAUAACAAAUUUCUCUUCAGCAGAGCAUGGAUUUCGAAGGUACUUGUCCUCGUCUUUGUCUAAGACAUGGGAGGCUCCUUUUGCUUCCUUAUUAAAAGCCAAUACCUUCGCUCCCUUUGAUGCUGAAGCAUAAUUGUACUCUUUACCUCCAGGCUCUACUCUAUGAAUUACACCUCCAGCUUGAGCAGUUCCUAAUUUAGUUUUAGAGCUGAAUGAUCUGCUUUUGAAUUCGUCAAGACCCAAGGGUACAGAAUGAGAUAAUCUGCCAAUCUUAGGACCAUUAUUUUCAAAUUUCACAUCUGAAACAGAGUUUGCCUCAGGUUGCUCCAGAACAGAGGAAUAUUUUGUGUUUCCUUCACUACCAAGUAACUCAUCAUUGGAAGCUCUUUCUGUACACAAACUUUCAUCUGAAUAGACAGAACAAAUUUCAUUGCAAGGUUCCAAAUUUGCCUCAUUGCAAGUUGAUGCGCCAGCUGCAAGCACUGCAGAUUCACCCCUAUAACCAUCACCAUGACUGAUCCAUAAGCUGAAAAGGAAGAAAAGCCCCCAUAAAGCAAGAAACAAAGAAAGGGAAACCCUGCAUAAGUGAGUUCUUCCACUGAUAGCCUUCUGAAAAGCUCUUCUUUGAAGAAGAGCUCUACGUGAUCUCUGCAUUGCACAUCAAUCCAAUGCAGUGCAGACAGCUAAUUAAUUAAAAAACAAUGAAGCACCCUGCACCAGAUAACACAAGGACUCACCUUCAUUAACUUCAAUUUACAGAAUAUAAAUUUUUAAAAUGCUCCAAGUCAAUACUAAUAUACUGAACUCUCAUGGGUAAUCUUCAAACUUCAAUCAAAGAAAAAGUGUAUUUAGCUUAUAGAUUCAGCAAUCACACAUAAAAUUCAACAGACUGCCACUAAAUAGUCUUCAAUAACAAACAGAACGACUCGAUAGGCUAAAAAGAGCAAGAGGUACACUGUAAGCAACAAGUAAAACAUAAUCUCCAAUUAAAUGAAAAAGUACACAAGUAUUACUUCAACAAUUGGGAAAGUGAAUCUGAUUUAGAAAUGUCCAUUCAUGGAAUUACAAGUUAUUAGCUUGCAAAUUAAUUCACUAUCUACAUCCAGUUCAAUACACCGCAAUGGGGUGUCUUCAGAUAGUGCCAAAAAUUCACCUUAGCAGCGAAGAAAAACAACUCUUGGAUCAUAAGUAAACACUGCUUCACCAAAAUCGAUUUUGAAAUAACCCAAACUAACAUAUAUUGAAAACCCAAAUUACAAUCAAUCAAUUCUACGCAUAGACCAUCUUGUUGCCAUGUAAAAUCUCGAAUAUAAAAUAUUUCCCUAAACGACAGAACCUGAAACUAGAAGAAUAAGCACAAAUAAGAUCUUAUACAUGUAUAAAUAAAACAUUAAAUAGACAAGAUAAAAUUUCAAAAAAAGA
rnacentral:misc_RNA from 1 species